rnacentral:rRNA from 1 species
GAUGAACGCUGGCGGCGUGCCUAAUACAUGCAAGUCGAGCGAACAGAUGAGGAGCUUGCUCCUCUGACGUUAGCGGCGGACGGGUGAGUAACACGUGGAUAACCUACCUAUAAGACUGGGAUAACUUCGGGAAACCGGAGCUAAUACCGGAUAAUAUAUUGAACCGCAUGGUUCAAUAGUGAAAUACGGUUUUGCUGUCACUUAUAGAUGGAUCCGCGCCGAAUUAGCUAGUUGGUAAGGUAAAGGCUUACCAAGGCAACGAUGCGUAGACGACCUGAGAGGGUGAUCGGCCACAUGGGAAGAGAGGAACGGCAGAGACUCUGACGGGAGGCAGCAGCAGGGAAUCUUACGCAAUGGGCGAGAGCCGGACGGAGCAACGCGGCGGGAGGGAUGAAGGUCCUCGGACGGGAAAACGCUGUUAGUAGGGAAGAACAAAUGUGUAAGUAACUAUGCACGUAUUGACGGUACCUAAUCAGAAAGCCACGGCUAACUACGUG